CAGUCAGGAUGGCCGAGUGGUCUAAGGCGCCAGACUCAAGUUCUGGUCUUCGAGAGAGGGCGUGGGUUCAAAUCCCACUUCUGACAU
rnacentral:tRNA from 1 species